rnacentral:rRNA from 1 species
UUCCGUUGAUCCUGCGGAAGAUCGCUGCUAUCAGAAUUCGAAUUAACUAAGCUAGUUUUGGGGCUCUUCGGAGCACCGGCAGACAGUUCCGUAACACGUCGAUAAUCUGCCCUUAGCAUCGGGAUAGCCUUGGGAAACUGAGGGUAAACCCGAAUAGAAGAAAAGUACUGGAAUGCUUUUUUCUUCAGAAAAGCAAUGGCUAAGGAUGAGUCGGCGUCCGAUUAGGCUGUUGGUGGGGUAAUGGCCCACCAAACCUGUGAUCGGUAGGGGCCUUGAGAGAGGUCGCCUCGAGGAGGACACUGAGAUAAGGGUCCUGACUCUACGGAGUAUAGCAAGUACGAAAACUUUACACUGCACGAAAGUGUGAUAAGGGAAUUCUGAGUGCUUAUGCUUUGCAUAGGCUUUUGCUGAGUGUAAAAAGCUCGGAGAAUAAGUGGUGGGCAAGACUGGUGCCAGCAGCCGCGGUAACACCAGCGCCACAAGUGGGGAUCAGCUUUAUUGGGCUUAAAGCGUUCGUAGUCGGCUUAGUAAAUUUUCUGUGAAAUUGUUUGGCUCAACCAAACAGCGUGCAGAAAACACUGCUAAACUUGAGACCGGGAGGAGUAAGAAGUAUUUUGGGGGUAGCGGUAAAAUGCUAUAAUCCUCGAAAGACUACCAGUAGCGAAGGCGUCUUACUAGAACGGGUCUGACGAUGAGGAACGAAAGCCAGGGGAGCGAACCGGAUUAGAUACCCGAGUAGUCCUGGCUGUAAACGCUGUGAGUUAGGUGUUGCAUAUUCUUCGUGAAUAUGCAGUGUCGUAGCGAAAGUGAUAAACUCACCGCCUGGGAAGUACGGUCGCAAGACUGAAACUUAAAGGAAUUGGCGGGGGAGCACAACAAGGGGUGCGGCGUGCGGUUUAAUCCAACUCAACGCGGAGAAUCUCACCAGGAGCGACGGCAGGAUGAAGGUCAGUCUGAAGGGCUUACCUAACGAGCCGAGAGGUGGUGCAUGGCCGUCGUCAGCUCGUGCCGUGAGGUGUCCUGUUAAGUCAGGCAACGAGCGAGACCUGUACUUACAAUUGCUAUCAACACACUUCGUGGAUUGGGCACAUUGUAGGGACUGCCUUGGAAACAAGGAGGAAGGUGCAGGCAACGAUAGGUCUGUAUGCCCCGAAUCUUCUGGGCUACACGCGCGCAACAAUGGUAGGUACAAAGGGAUACAACUCCGAAAGGAGAAGUUAAUCCUCUAAAACCUAUCUCAGUUCAGAUUGAGGAUUGUAACUCAUCCUCAUGACGUCGGAAUCCCUAGUAAUCGGACUUUAUCAUAGUCCGGUGAAUAUGUCCCUGCUCCUUGCACACACCGCCCGUCAAACCAACCGAGCAGGGUUUUGGUGAACUUUAUCCAUUUAGGUAAGGUGAACCAGAGUUCAGUGAGGUGGGUUAAGUCGUCACAAGGUA